rnacentral:rRNA from 1 species
GGUGAGUAACACGUGGAUAACCUACCUAUAAGACUGGGAUAACUUCGGGAAACCGGAGCUAAUACCGGAUAAUAUUUUGAACCGCAUGGUUCAAAAGUGAAAGACGGUCUUGCUGUCACUUAUAGAUGGAUCCGCGCUGCAUUAGCUAGUUGGUAAGGUAACGGCUUACCAAGGCAACGAUGCAUAGCCGACCUGAGAGGGUGAUCGGUCACACUGGAACUGAGACACGGUCCAG